rnacentral:lncRNA from 1 species
UGUUCCUAUAUGUUCAUUUUCAAAUUCACGGCGCAUGUAUUUGUGCAUGGUGCUUAGAGAGGGCAUCACGUGACUAAAAACGACCAAUGACCUCACUUCGGACUUCGGCGCUUCGGCCAUCUUGGCAUGCAUCUUGGCCUUGGCCACCUUGCCGUGCGUGAUCGUUGUUUGUUUUUAUUUGUGCUUUUUAAGAAUAUUUUUUUAAUUCGGAUACUUUUAUAAUAACUUUAAUAGCAUUAUUAACAUAGUGCAUAAAAUCAGUUGGAGUAGCAGAAGCAAUGUAGAUAAAAAAUCUGCAGGAAUAACGUUUCAAAGCUUUCCAGAAGAUCCUGCGAAGAAGGCAUGAAGUAUAGAUCAGAUUUGUUAAUAGAGCAGUAUGUUCAAAACAUUUUUUAGAAAAAGAUAUUGACAGAACUUCACUUUCAACUGUUUGUUUGAGAGACUGUGCUGUUCCAAUAGCUUAUAUCACACAGAAUCAGCUGAGAGAAGUGGUCUACAAAAAACCAGGAAGGAAAUGGAAUAUGUGGCUAUGAAAGGCAAAAGAAAGGUUUAUAAAGCAAAUGUGACACAUUUUUUAUAGGAAUAUCAGUAAAUUACAUUAAAAAAAUGUAUGAAAAGAUUUUUUGCAAUAAAAAUGUUUAUAUUUA